rnacentral:tRNA from 1 species
GAGGGUAUACCUCAAGUGGUAGAGCGCAUGCUUAGCAUGCAGGAGGUCCUGGGUUCAAUCCCCAGUCCCUCCU